rnacentral:rRNA from 1 species
AGAGUUUGAUCCUGGCUCAGAUUGAACGCUGGCGGCAUGCCUUACACAUGCAAGUCGAACGGCAGCACGGGAGUAAUCCUGGUGGCGAGUGGCGAACGGGUGAGUAAUACAUCGGAACGUGUCCUGGAGUGGGGGAUAGCCCGGCGAAAGCCGGAUUAAUACCGCAUACGCUCUGAGGAGGAAAGGGGGGGAUCUUAGGACCUCCCGCUUUAGGGGCGGCCGAUGGCAGAUUAGCUAGUUGGUGGGGUAAAGGCCUACCAAGGCGACGAUCUGUAGCUGGUCUGAGAGGACGACCAGCCACACUGGGACUGAGACACGGCCCAGACUCCUACGGGAGGCAGCAGUGGGGAAUUUUGGACAAUGGGGGCAACCCUGAUCCAGCAAUGCCGCGUGUGUGAAGAAGGCCUUCGGGUUGUAAAGCACUUUUGUCCGGAAAGAAAUCAUCCUGGCUAAUAUCCGGGGUGGAUGACGGUACCGGAAGAAUAAGCACCGGCUAACUACGUGCCAGCAGCCGCGGUAAUACGUAGGGUGCAAGCGUUAAUCGGAAUUACUGGGCGUAAAGCGUGCGCAGGCGGUCCGCUAAGACAGAUGUGAAAUCCCCGGGCUUAACCUGGGAACUGCAUUUGUGACUGGCGGGCUAGAGUAUGGCAGAGGGGGGUAGAAUUCCACGUGUAGCAGUGAAAUGCGUAGAGAUGUGGAGGAAUACCGAUGGCGAAGGCAGCCCCCUGGGCCAAUACUGACGCUCAUGCACGAAAGCGUGGGGAGCAAACAGGAUUAGAUACCCUGGUAGUCCACGCCCUAAACGAUGUCAACUAGUUGUCGGGUCUUCAUUGACUUGGUAACGAAGCUAACGCGUGAAGUUGACCGCCUGGGGAGUACGGUCGCAAGAUUAAAACUCAAAGGAAUUGACGGGGACCCGCACAAGCGGUGGAUGAUGUGGAUUAAUUCGAUGCAACGCGAAAAACCUUACCUACCCUUGACAUGGUCAGGACCCUGCUGAA